UACGUAGGGGGCAAGCGUUGUCCGGAAUCAUUGGGCGUAAAGAGCGUGUAGGCGGCCAGAUAAGUCCGCUGUGAAAUCUCGAGGCUCAACUUCGAGCUGUCGGUGGAAACUGUCUGGCUAGAGUCCGGAAGAGGAGAAUGGAAUUCCUGGUGUAGCGGUGAAAUGCGCAGAUAUCUGGAGGAACACCGGUGGCGAAGGCGGCGUUCUGGACUGCAACUGACACUGAGGAACGAAAGCCAGGGGAGCAAACGGG
rnacentral:rRNA from 1 species